rnacentral:piRNA from 1 species
AAUGGCUGCAUCGUGGAAACUAAC